AGCCCAGACUCCUACGGGAGGCAGCAGUGAGGAAUAUUGGUCAAUGGGAGGAAUCCUGAACCAGCCAUGCCGCGUGCAGGACGACGGCUCUACGAGUUGUAAACUGCUUUUGUACCGGGGUAAAAUGCCUUACGAGUAGGGUUUUGAAAGUACGGUACGAAUAAGGAUCGGCUAACUCCGUGCCAGCAGCCGCGGUAAUACGGGGGAUGCAAGCGUUGUCCGGAAUCAUUGGGCGUAAAGAGUUCGUAGGUGGCACGUUAAGUCUGGUGUUAAACGCAGAGGCUCAACCUCUGUUCGGCACUGGAUACUGGCGAGCUUGAAUGCGGUAGAGGUAAAGGGAAUUCCUGGUGUAGCGGUGAAAUGCGUAGAUAUCAGGAGGAACAUCGGUGGCGUAAGCGCUUUACUGGGCCGUAAUUGACACUGAGGAACGAAAGCCAGGGUAGCAAAUGGGAUUAGAUACCCCAGUA
rnacentral:rRNA from 1 species